UAGAAUAAAGUCAUAGGCCAUCGUUUAC
rnacentral:piRNA from 1 species